GCAGAAGUGGCGGAAUUGGCAGACGCGCAGGCUUCAGGUGCCUGUGAUCGUUUAGGUCAUGUGGGUUCAAGUCCCAUCUUCUGCA
rnacentral:tRNA from 1 species